CAGCCGCCGCGGUAAUACGUAGGGUGCAAGCGUUAAUCGGAAUUACUGGGCGUAAAGCGUGCGUAGGCGGUUCGUUAAGUCUGUUGUGAAAGCCCCGGGCUCAACCUGGGAAUGGCAAUGGAUACUGGCGAGCUAGAGUGUGUCAGAGGAUGGUGGAAUUCCCGGUGUAGCGGUGAAAUGCGUAGAGAUCGGGAGGAACAUCAGUGGCGAAGGCGGCCAUCUGGGACAACACUGACGCUGAGGCACGAAAGCGUGGGGAGCAAACAGGAUUAGAUACCCGUGUAGUCCCUGUCUCUUAUAA
rnacentral:rRNA from 1 species